rnacentral:rRNA from 1 species
GGAGGAUUCAAGCGUUAUCCGGAUUUAUUGGGCGUAAAGCGUGCGCAGGCGGUUUGUUAAGUCUAAAAUCAAAGCCCGAAGCUUAACUUCGGUUCGUUUUAGAAACUGGCAGGCUUGAGUAUGGUAGAGGCAAACGGAAUUUCUAGUGUAGCGGUAAAAUGCGUAGAUAUUAGAAGGAACACCAGUGGCGAAGGCGGUUUGCUGGGCCAUUACUGACGCUCAUGCACGAAAGCGUGGGGAGCAAA